rnacentral:lncRNA from 1 species
GACAGAUACAUCUUUUCACAAACUUGUUUUUUUGCACUGAAACAUCCAAAUCUCCUAUUAAAGUAUGUGCAGAAGAUACUGAGUUUGCUCACACAGCCUGCCAAAACAAACUCCUGCUAAAAUAGUAUGUCCAUUUCUGUCUCACUAAGUAAACUAGUG